ACUACGGAGGGCUGCAGUGAGGAAUAUUGGUCAAUGGACGCAAGUCUGAACCAGCCAUGCCGCGUGCAGGAAGCCGGCUCUAUGAGUUGUACACUUCUUUUGUACGAGGGUAAAUCCCGAUACGUGUACCUGUUUGAAAGUAUCUUACGAAUAAGGAUCGGCUAACUCCGUGCCAGCAGCCGCGGUAAUACGGAGGAUUAAAGCGUUAUCCGGAUUUAUUGGGUUUAAAGGGUGCGUAGUCGGUUGGAUAAGUUAGUGGUGAAAGCCUGGGGCUCAACCCCGGCAGUGCAUCUGAUACUGUCAGGCUUGAGUUUAGUUGCGGUAGGCGGAAUUGUUGGUGUAGCGGUGAAAUGCGUAGAGAUCAUACAGAACACCGAUUGCGAAGGCAGCUUACUAAACUUCGACUGACGUUGAGGCACGAAAGCGUGGGGAGCAAACAGGAUUAGAUACCCGAGUAGUC
rnacentral:rRNA from 1 species